AAAGAGACAUCAAUAGACUUUAUUCACAGCUCAGACGAGUGGGGCAACCCUUAUCCGCAAUCCAGGGAAUAAAAGAGGCUGAACUUCCACCAAAAGCUUGAUUAUGACUCCAUCAACCUUUGAAAACAAUGUUACGACACUUGGAAACAUCUCCACCACCGUUACUACAAAACAUGCAUCCUGCCCAUGCUCUUGGUCUCCUCAUAGGACAGAGCUCUUGAAGCCGCGCUGUCAGUUUCAGAUGCCAUGCAAAAUAGUGAUAAUACAUCAAUUUCACUUAAAUUUUUUUACCCAUUGGAGACAUUGAUUGGACGACUUCGAGAUGAAAUUUGUACAAUUUUGUCUUACAUUAUAAACUAAUUAAUGUCCUUAAGGUAAGCUGAGCAGGGAGCUCUUUUCACAGAAAAUUUCGAUGAGGUACUCCAAAAAAAGACAUUUGCAAAGAGUAUAAAACUGGACAAACAUUUAAAUAAUGAUGAAUAUUAUAAACCCAUGUCCAUUAGCUUCAGCUGCCUACUUCUUUAGUAUAACCACAGUGUAACAACCAAAAAGUGUUAGUGGUUAGUGAAAAAAGUGCGUUAAAUUUUCUUAUUUUUUUCCUCUUACCUACCUUUCUUCCUUCCUUUCAUUUCAUUCUGUCUUUUACAGUGUUGCACCCACCAUUGAAAGGGCUUGUGAAGAGUGGUAUCGCUGAUGAUAACCAGCACUUACCAAGGGUGCAGACAAUUCCUAGGCACUGACUGCUCUUUGCCAUUGAGCAUUUAUCUUUUGCAUCCUUUCGGAAAAUUUUAGGACAACGAAACUUGAACAUUUUACGUGUUUUCCCAGAUUUUUUCAGAUUUUCUUCAUUUAUCAUGGUUUCGUUGUUAAGAUAAAAGUCUCUGUUUUUUCUAGUCGCUUAAAAUUCUGCUUUACCCAGAGUCAGAAUUUUUUUUUUUGUUAUUUCCUUUUAUUAUUAUAAUUCUACUUUCCUCUCAAAAUCCAAAAUUUUCGGGACAUUUCUGGGCAGUGGUUGAGAUAAAACAUAUUGAGCACCCCUGGCAUUUGCAAACAAUCAUAGACAGCUAUGCGAGUAAUAAUUUUUGGGUAAAAAAAAAGAAUUGCUAGUCUUAAGGGUGAGUUACAUUCAGUUGCUAAGAAAAUCCAGUAGAUAAAGCUAGAAAUACGGCUUGUGCAGAACAUUUUGCAGUUUUAUCAACUACAGGGUUCAAGAAUUAUGAGCUAUUAUAAAUACUGUAAAAAAUGAAAUAGAGAAAAUGAUACAUACCUCCAACUGUU